UACGUAGGGGGCAAGCGUUAUCCGGAAUUACUGGGUGUAAAGGGUGAGUAGGCGGCAUGGUAAGCCAGAUGUGAAAGCCUUGGGCUUAACCCGAGGAUUGCAUUUGGAACUAUCAAGCUAGAGUACAGGAGAGGAAAGCGGAAUUCCUAGUGUAGCGGUGAAAUGCGUAGAUAUUAGGAAGAACACCAGUGGCGAAGGUGGCUUUCUGGACUGAAACUGACGCUGAGGCACGAAAGCGUGGGGAGCGAACAGG
rnacentral:rRNA from 1 species